ACAAUGAUACUUUCGUCCAGUCACAGCCCCUCUUGACCGAGGGAUCAAGCAAUGAGGACGACCGGCAGAGAUCCUGGCGGGGGUGAGAUUCCCAUGA
rnacentral:ncRNA from 1 species